rnacentral:rRNA from 1 species
GACGAACGCUGGCGGCGGGCUUAACACAUGCAAGUCGAACGGAAAGGCUCUGCUUUUGUGGGGUGCUCGAGUGGCGAACGCGUGAGUAACACGCGAGUAACCUGCCCUUGACUUUGGGAUAACUUCAGGAAACUGGGGCUAAUACCGGAUAGGAGCUCCUGCUGCAUGGUGGGGGUUGGAAAGUUUGGUCGGUUGGGCAAGGAAUCGCGGCGUAUCCGCUUGUUGGUUGGGUAGCGGCUUAGCAAGGCUUUGACGGGUAGCCGGCCUGGGCGGGUGACCGGCCCCACUGGAACGGAACUGCGGCCCGGACCCCUACGGGACGCGAGGGAGCGGAAUGUUGCACAAUGGACGGGAGGCAACUCCAGCAACGCCGCGUGGGGGAUGACAGGCCUCGGGUUGUAUUCCACUUCCGCCUGUGACGGAACGUGAAUGACGGUAAUGGGUAAAGAAGCACCGGCUAACUACGUG